GAUGAACGCUGGCGGCGUGCCUAAUACAUGCAAGUCGAGCGAACGGACGAGAAGCUUGCUUCUCUGAUGUUAGCGGCGGACGGGUGAGUAACACGUGGAUAACCUACCUAUAAGACUGGGAUAACUUCGGGAAACCGGAGCUAAUACCGGAUAAUAUUUUGAACCGCAUGGUUCAAAAGUGAAAGACGGUCUUGCUGUCACUUAUAGAUGGAUCCGCGCUGCAUUAGCUAGUUGGUAAGGUAACGGCUUACCAAGGCAACGAUGCAUAGCCGACCUGAGAGGGUGAUCGGCCACACUGGAACUGAGACACGGUCCGGACUCCUACGGGAGGCAGCAGUAGGGAAUCUUCCGCAAUGGGCGAAAGCCUGACGGAGCAACGCCGCGUGAGUGAUGAAGGUCUUCGGAUCGUAAAACUCUGUUAUUAGGGAAGAACAUAUGUGUAAGUAACUGUGCACAUCUUGACGGUACCUAACCAGAAAGCCACGGCUAACUACGUG
rnacentral:rRNA from 1 species